ACAGACAGACAGACACGCGCGCCACACUUCAACUGCUGUGCGUAGAUUCCCAUGUACAUUUUUUUUCCGCCGCCACGGCGCGUGCUGGGGAAAGGAGGAAGGAGGGGCCUGCCUGCUGCUGUUCCGUUUUCGUUGUCGUUUCGCCACAUCGGCAGUGCCCAUCACCACCGCCGCCGCCGCCACGCCACCCAUUCUUCAGUCCUUUGUGCGUGGGGGGGGGGGGGGGGAAGGUGGGAGGGUCUUGUUGGCCUACCACUGCUUCCGUUUUCCGUCGGUGCCUCACGCCGGUCUUGCUCACAAGCGUAGGUGAGGAGCACGGCGACGCGAUUCGCCCCAGCAUCGUCUACUGCAGCCACUUCGCUCGCUCACUCUUGCAUCGUCAUCCCUCACCCACCCCCUCUCUCCCUCCCUCCCCUGCAGCGAGGAAGGAUCGUCAUGGGCGCCGGAAGUACCGCCAAUGCCUCGGGCACACGCACGCGAUCUGCAGAGAGAGACCACUCUCGUUAGUUUGUAUUUUAUUUCCGUUGUUGUUGUUGUCUUCGCUCACAUCCCUCUCAUAAUCAACGCCCCGGCAAGUAAAGCGAAGAGAGGCAGCGGCGACGGCGGCGGCGGAGGAGGAUGGUGCGUGUCUUCCGUGGUCGACAACGCCAUCAACAGCAGCGCAAGCCGUCUUCGUCUCCGCUGCUCGCUCCAUCGCACGCGCGCACCCGCUCGAUGGUCGUGCUGCCGUCGUUGUUUCGCCGUCUCUCAUAACCCGUUCUCCCCUCCCCCUCCUCCCCCUCAUCAGCAUCCCCGUCAUCAUAAUCGUUAGUUGACGUUGUUUUGGUUAUGUUUGUGUGUGUGUGUGUAUCGGCUUCGUCUUCCUAGCUUCCUUUUCUCGUACGCCUUCGCAUGUGUCGGUCACACGUAAAUCCUUCCCCCUCUCCCUCCCCCUCAUCAGGGCUUCGUCCGUCUCCUCGUUUUUCUGGUCUUCUCCUUCCUUCAAGUGUGCUUGGCGGUGUUCAUCAUGGUCGUCAUCGUCGUCUUGUCGUCUUCUGCUGUGUUUAACUGAGGGAUCUGCCUGUGUGUGCCUGUCUGUCUGUUCUGAAGCUGAUCUGCGGAUGUGGAAUCACGUUCUCGGCCCCUCCGUAUGCCUGUCUCUGUCUGUGUCUGUCUGUGUGUUGUUCCUAAUCGGUGCGUGCGUGCGUGUGUGUGUGUGUGUGUGCGCGCUUCCUUUUAUGUCUCCCCUUCCUCCCAUACCCCCUCCCCUCCCCUCCCCUCCCCUCCCCCUCUCCUCGGCCACCCCUCCAUGUUGUUUACGUUUUUCAUGUGUGUGUAUGUGUGUGUUCGCUGAUGUACAUUGAUGUGUGUGUAUGUAUGUGUGCAUACGUAUUCCAUCGGCAACGCCUCACAUGAUUCACCCGUCUCUCCUCGUCUCUCGUUACACGCUUGUUGUUGCGAUGUCUUUCUCCCUUUCUCCCUUCCUCCCUCUCUCUCUGUGCCUGUGUGUGCGUGUGCGUGUGUGCGUGUGUGUGUGUGUGCGUGCCUUUCCGUACUCUCGCUAUCCCUGCGUGUCUCUCUUUCUCUCUCUCAUGUCCCCGCAUCCAUGCCGCCUCUCAGGGCAUAAAACAGAAAGCAGACACGCAUCACAGAGAAAGGGGCUGGGAACGCAAUCUGCGGCAGGCACGUGUGCACACACAAACACACCGAGAGUUCUGUCUGUCUGUCUCUCUCUCUCUCAUCAUCUCCCUUCUUGUCCUUCUCUUCUCCGUCGCGUAGGCCGUCUUGUCUCACUCAUAAGGCUGAUCCCCAAAUCAGCCGCCGCCGCUGUGACUCAAGUCGGCUGUCGUACUCGUCUUUCCGUUGUUCCCGUUCCCCCCCCGCGCUCUUUCUUAUUGCUCGCUCCGCUGUUGUCGUGGAUGAUGGCAAGGUGUGCACCCCCGUCGCUGUUUCGUUUUUGUGUGUGCGUGCGCGCGUCUCGCGUUGAGGUUUGAACGUAUCUCGGCACAUGUGCGAAACAGACCCAGAGAGAGGGAGUGAGGGGGAGGGGGGCUUCCUGUAUGGUUCUCUCUCUGCGUGCGGGUGGGUGUGUCACGCUGGCGCGACUCUUUCGGUGAUGGUGGUUUGAUCCCAUUAGGGUUCAGCUGAUGGAUAUUUGGUUGGAUGCGUCGUUGUUGCUUCGCCUCGUUUCACGUUGUCUGAUUUGUGUGUGUGUGUGUGUGUGUGUGUGUGUGUGUGUGUGGUUGGGUGGGUGGGUGUGCUUGCUGGAUCCAGUCGUUUUCCAUCACUUGUUCGUUGUCUGCUGUCUCUUCUUGCCUUCGCUCUGGCGUGCAUGUCUGCGUGCGCACGCGUGCGUGCUGUGCUCAGAUAUAUAUAUAUAUAUACACGUAUGCAAUACACACGCGUGCGCACCUGUGCGCGCCCGACCCCUAAUAAAAAAAAAGUUUGCCUAAUGAACGUUGUCUGUCCUCGCCACCGCUGCCGUCACUGCACACCUUCACUACCUUCACCCCCCCCGUCGAACGCCCCUUUCUCUGUCUGAUGUGUCUGUGUGUGUGUGUGUGUGUGUGUGUCGGCCUUCUCUGAACCCUCACGUGUAUGCUCUACACAUCACACACCGGCGUGCACGUGUGCGUCAUCGUUGUGUCUUCGCCUCCGUUCUCCUUUGUAGUUGUUGCUGCGAUGGCGGUUCUGUCUCUGGGCGCCGCCACGUGUGUCUCCGCCGUUGACGUGCCCUCGACCGAAACAUGCACACCAAAAAUCAUGUGGAUACGUGUACGUCUGUGUGUGUGCGUGUGCGUGCGGUUGUACUUGCUAAGCCGAAUAUCAAGGCCAAUGCCCGAAGAUCAAGCGUAGAAGCGAGCAGACAAGGAGAGAGAGUGAGGGGGAGGGAGAGGGGGGGACGUAACCGAGUCAGAGAGUCGUUCGUGGCAGCAGCCGUACUCGCACUCCUGCACACACGCAGC
rnacentral:misc_RNA from 1 species